UAAGGAAUAUUGCGCAAUGGGCGAAACCCUGACGCAGCGACGCCGCGUGUGGGAUGAAGGUCUUCGGAUUGUAAACCACUGUCGCGAGGGACGAAGCUCUGACGGUACCUCGAAAGGAAGCACCGGCUAACUCUGUGCCAGCAGCCGCGGUAAUACAGAGGGUGCGAGCGUUGUCCGGAAUCACUGGGCGUAAAGGGCGCGUAGGCGGCCCGGUAAGUAGGGGGUGAAAUCUCAUGGCUCAACUGUGAGGCUGCCUUCUAGACUGCUGGGCUUGAGCACGGUAGAGGCUGGUGGAAUUCCCGGUGUAGCGGUGGAAUGCGUAGAGAUCGGGAGGAACAUCGGUGGCGAAGGCGGCCAGCUGGGCCGUUGCUGACGCUGAGGCGCGAAAGCGUGGGGAGCAAACAGGAUUAGAUACCCGCGUAGUCCCUGAGCGGGCUGGCAAGGCGCAU
rnacentral:rRNA from 1 species